rnacentral:tRNA from 1 species
GCCGAAGUGGUGGAAUUGGUAGACACGCAUGAUUCAGGUUCAUGUGCUCGUAAGGGCAUGGGAGUUCGAGUCUCCCCUUCGGCACCA